ACGCUGGCGGCGUGCUUAAUACAUGCAAGUCAACUUGACUUUAGAUAGCAAUAUCGAAAAGUAGGGUGGCGCACGGGUGCGUAACGCGUAGGUAAUCUGCCCUGAGGUCUGACAUAACCCGUCGAAAGGCGGGCUAACAUCAGAUGAUAUAUAAUCACGACAUCGUGGAAAUAUCAAAUCUUCGGAGCCUUGGGAUGAGCCUGCGUCUGAUUAGGUAGUUGGCGGAGUAAUAGCCCACCAAGCCUACGAUCAGUAGCUGGUCUGAGAGGAUGAUCAGCCACACUGGAACUGAGACACGGUCCAGACUCCUACGGGAGGCAGCAGUAAGGAAUAUUGCUCAAUGGGGGGAAACCCUGAAGCAGCAACGCCGCGUGAAGGAUGAAAUACUUUUGUAUGUAAACUUCUGUAAGAUGGGAAAAAUAUUCUCCUCGGGAGAAUUGAUUGUACCAUCAGAGUAAGCCCCGGCUAACUAGGUG
rnacentral:rRNA from 1 species